GGUAAAAAAGCUCGUAGUUGGAUUUCUGUUGAGGGCGACCGGUCCUGUCAACGACAGCGUAUCUGGCGCGCGCUCGGCAUCCUCUCGAUAGACGUUUCUGCGCUUGAUUGCGUGGAGCGGAUCUCGGGACUUUUACUUUGAGGAAAUUAGAGUGUUCACGGCAGGCUAUCGCCAGAAUACAUUAGCAUGGAAUAAUACUAUAGGAUCUUGGUUCUAUUUUGUUGGUUUCUAGAAUUGAGAUAAUGAUUAAUAGGGACAAUUGGGGGCAUUCGUAUCAACACGUCAGAGGUGGAAUUCUUGGAUUGUGUUGCGACGAACUACUGCGAAAGCAUUUGCCAAGGAUGUUUUCAUUGAUCAAGAACGAAAGUAAGGGGAUCGAAGACGAUUAGAUACCGUCGUAGUCUUUACCAUAAACUAUGCCAACUAGAGAUUGGGUCUCGUUCACUUACGACUGACUCAGCACCUUAUGAGAUAUCAAAGUCUUUGGGUUCCGGGGGGAGUAUGGUCGCAAGGCUGAAACUUAAAGGAAUUGACGGAAGGGCACCACCAGGAGUGGAGCCUGCGGCUUAAUUUGACUCAACAC
rnacentral:rRNA from 1 species